rnacentral:rRNA from 1 species
UACGAAGGGGGCUAGCGUUGUUCGGAAUUACUGGGCGUAAAGCGCACGUAGGCGGAUUGUUAAGUGAGGGGUGAAAUCCCGGGGCUCAACCCCGGGAACUGCCUUUCAUACUGGCAAUCUCGAGUCCGAGAGAGGUGAGUGGAAUUCCGAGUGUAGAGGUGAAAUUCGUAGAUAUUCGGAGGAACACCAGUGGCGAAGGC